UGGAGGACUGAGAAAAUAAGGCAGUUAUAUGUACUGCAUUUAUUGGUUACAACCUCCAAAAUCAAAAUUGCAAAAGCAAGUCUUGUUCCUGUCUUGUGUAGGAACACUGUUGCUCAUUGCAUAUAUUUC